rnacentral:misc_RNA from 1 species
AACGCACAUUGCGCCCCUUGGUAUUCCAUGGGGCAUGCCUGUUCGAGCGUCAUUUUGUACCCUCAAGCACAGCUUGGUGUUGGGCGUUUGUCCUGCAGAGGACUCGCCUGAAAGCGAUUGGCGGCCAACGUAGUCGUGCAGAGCGCAGCACAAUCUCGCGUCUCUCCCCUCUGCGUCGGCGUCCAUGAAGCCUACAAUCUCAACGUUUGACCUCGGAUCAGGUAGGGAUACCCGCUGAACUUAA